AAUAUUGGUCAAUGGAGGCAACUCUGAACCAGCUACGUCGCGUGAAUUAUGACGGCCCUACGGGUUGUAUACUUCUUUUAUACAGGAAUAAAGUGAGUCACUUGUGACUUGUUGGUUGUACUGUAUGAAUAUGGAUCGGUUUAUCCCGUGCCAGCAGCCGCGGUAAUACGGAGGAUCCAAGCGUUAGCCGGAUUUAUUGGGUUUAAAGGGUGCGCAGGCGGAAGAUUAAGUCGGCAGUGAAAUUUUGAAGCUCAACUGUAAAAGUGCCAUCGAUACUGGUUAUCUUAAGUGUGGAUGAAGUACGCGGAAUUUGUGGUGUAGCGGUGAAAUGCAUAGAUAUCACGAGGAACUCCGAUUGCGCAGGCAGCUUACUAGGCCAUAACUGACGCUCAGGCACGAAGGCGUGGGGAUCAAACAGG
rnacentral:rRNA from 1 species